rnacentral:rRNA from 1 species
ACGCGGUGACAGGUGCUGCAUGGCUGUCGUCAGCUCGUGUCGUGAGAUGUUGGGUUAAGUCCCGCAACGAGCGCAACCCUCGUCCUUAGUUGCCAUCAUUUAGUUGGGCACUCUAAGGAAACCGCCGGUGAUAAGCUGGAGGAAGGUGGGGAUGACGUCAAGUCCUCAUGGCCCUUACAGGCUGGGCUACACACGUGCUACAAUGGCGGUGACAGUGGGCAGCCACUCCGCGAGGAGGAGCUAAUCCCAAAAAGCCGUCUCAGUUCGGAUUGUUCUCUGCAACUCGAGAGCAUGAAGGCGGAAUCGCUAGUAAUCGCGGAUCAGCAUGCCGCGGUGAAUACGUUCCCAGGCCUU